ACCAUCGUCCCACCCCGCCUCCGUGAUAACUCUGAGGAUGAAAGGUAAGGUGAAGUUGGGAGCACACGUUAGAUAUGCGCGUGGCGGCGGUGCUCAUCUCCGUCCCGUUGGCCCUUUGAGACUAUGGUGGGAAAGCCUUUUACCUGACACAAGAGCAGUAUACCAUCCGGGUCACCACAGUUUACCUUCCCCAGGUUUCCCCAGGUACCCAUUUAGGCCUGUACAAGGCAGCUCCAUUGAACCUAAGCUCCCGUGUAUCUAACCCCACCUAAUAUCGCUGUCCAUGAAUUUAUCUAAUCUAUUUUUGAAUGUGACAGCUGUAUUGGCACUCACCACAUGACUGCUCAGCCUGUUCCACUCAUCCACCACUCUGUUAAUAAACCAAUUUUUGCCUAUGUCCUUCUUAAAUCUAAAUUUAUCCAGUUUAAACCCAUUACUACGUGUCCUACCCGGUUCUCUAACCAAUAUAACCUUAUGAAUAUCCCCCUUAUUAAAGCCCUUCAUCCAUUUAUAAACCUCGAUCAUGUCUCCACGCACCCUUCGCCUUUCUAGGGAAUGAAAGUUGUGCAACAAUACACACAUUCAGCGCAGCCUCGCGGUGACUAUAACAAUUAAAAACACGGUGACGAUAAGAAUAAACCACGACAGCCGCGGUGACCUGGGAGACGCCGCCGCCGCUGUAGACACGGCCGCGGUGACGUCAGCGCGGCGGGACACGUGUCGGCUAAGCGUCCAGGGGUCGGCCCACGCACGCCCCCGGGACUCACGACGCUAUAAAUACUGAGGCCAUGGGGCAGGCGACACGGGGGGAGGCACCGGACGCCGCGGGGCACGCCCACACGCGUCCUGAUGCACGGGGAGACACGUGAUGCGAGUAAUAUUCCUGCAUGAAGUAAAACGCUAUUCCCCUCAACGCCCUUCCUAUGUUUAACCUUUUGACCGCCGCCUCCGUGUUGAUUCUCUUGCUAUCCUCCUCCAUGUACAGUUAUUCCCAUCCUGACUCCCCUGAUGGACCUUUUAACAGAGCGGGGAGCGAAGGAAGGAAGUCUAAGAGGCUUUUUUUUUUUUUUUACAACAAAGGAGACAGCUCAAGGGCACAAAAAAGGAAACACUAAUAAAAAAGAGCCCGCUGCUCGCUGCUCCUAAAAAAAGAGGUGGCCGAAAGAGAGGUCAAUUUCGGGAGGAGAGGUGUCCUGAUACCCUCCUCUUGAAAGCGUUCAAGUCGUAGGCAGGAGGAAAUACAGAUGAAGGAAGACUGUUCCAGAGUUUACCAGCGUGAGCGAUGAAAGAGUGAAGAUGCUCGUUAACUCUUGCAUAAGGAGUUUGGACAGUAGAGGGAUGAGUUUGGGUGACCUAGCGAGUGUAGGAGAGACCUGAGGAAAGAGAGGCAAGGAGGGGAAAGCGCCCAUGCUAACUCUCCUUCUGAACCUUCUAACACGGCGGGAAGUGAAAAAAAGGAAAGUGGGAAAGUAUGGGAGACGUAACGAGUGUAGGAGAGAAGACCUGAGGAAAGAGAGGCAAGGAGGGACGAGCGUUGGGUACUCACAGUGAGGCUGGUAGGUCCCGGGGCGCAGAGACGAGGAUGUUACCAAGAGCACUACUGAGGGGUGAUAAGGGAAGGGACAAGGAAGGGGCAGGGAGUCUCACGGGAGUAGGAAAACGUAAGGAGUAAGAAACAAGGAACUAAGGUGUUGGAGGUGGAGCUGGAGGGAAGGAGUAGGGAGUUAGGAGACAGCAGGGUACAGGGAACGUUACGAAUGCAGUAGGAGACAUGAGGAGUGACAAAUGGAGGGAAGGAGUAGGGAGUUAGGAGACAGCAGGGUACAGGAAACGUUACAUAUGCAGUAGGAGACAUGAGGAGUGACAAAUGGAGGGAAGGAGUAGGGAGUUAGGAGACAGCAGGGUACAGGGAACGUUACAAAUGCAGGAGACAUGGGGAGUGACAAGUGGAGGGAAGGAGUAGGGAGUUAGGAGACAGCAGGGUACAGAGAACGUUACGAAUGCAGUAGGAGACGUGAGGAGUGACAAGUGGAGGGAAGGAGUAGGGAGUUAGGAGACAGCAGGGUACAGGGAACGUUACAAAUGCAGGAGACAUGGGGAGUGACAAGUGGAGGGAAGGAGUAGGGAGUUAG